rnacentral:sRNA from 1 species
UAAAAAAGCUUUAGCAGAUGGGCCCCA